rnacentral:rRNA from 1 species
UACAGAGGUGGCAAGCGUUGUUCGGAAUUACUGGGCGUAAAGGGCGCGUAGGCGGUCCGAUAAGUCCCGUGUGAAAUCCCUCGGCUCAACUGAGGAAUGGCACGGGAAACUGACGGGCUUGAGUUCGGGAGAGGGAAGCGGAAUUCCUGGUGUAGCGGUGAAAUGCGCAGAUAUCAGGAAGAACACCCGUGGCUAAGGCGGCUCUCUAGUACGGUACUGACGCUGAGACGCGAAAGCGUGGGGAGCGAACAGG